rnacentral:rRNA from 1 species
UACGAAGGGGGCUAGCGUUGCUCGGAAUCACUGGGCGUAAAGCGCACGUAGGCGGCUUCUUAAGUCAGAGGUGAAAUCCUGGAGCUCAACUCCAGAACUGCCUUUGAUACUGGGAAGCUUGAGUUCGGGAGAGGUGAGUGGAACUGCGAGUGUAGAGGUGAAAUUCGUAGAUAUUCGCAAGAACACCAGUGGCGAAGGCGGCUCACUGGCCCGAUACUGACGCUGAGGCACGAAAGCGUGGGGAGCAAACAGG